CACAGAGAAGUCAUGAACUCAAGGUGCAGAAUGAAGCUGGUAUCUUCGAAUCCCCAAUGCAAGAAAGUUGAUGAGAAGCCAUGGCUUGCAAAGCCAGUAGAGAAGACUCAGAGAAGCCAGUGAAAGAAACUGAUGCUGCUUACAGAAGACAGAACCAAGAAACUGAGGGAGAUGAGAAGUCAGAAAAGAAGUUGAAGAAGAUACGAUGAUAAGACAAUAGGACAGCUAAUAGUUGCUUCUUGGGAACAAGCAGGCUGUUCUUUUGAGGAAGGAUAUGACCUGAUGGGAGAAAAACUGAUACUGGAAGUUGAUUGAAGAAGACAACAUCCUAAGCGCUAGGAUAAGAGCUGGUUGCUUGAGGGGAUAUCCCCUCAAAGUCUAUAAGAAGAAAAUAUGAAUAAUUUUGCAGAUGCCAGGAUUGAAGAAAUUGCUUUUCACUGAAAGAGUGUCAGCUGAUAACUUUCUGCUUAGGUACAGGCAGGCUCUUCACUGGAUGAAAGGAUCUGACCUGACUGGAGCAAAAUUGUGAUACUGCUGUACUCUAGGAAUAAAAGCUGUUUUCAAACAGGCAAGUUGGCUUCUUAGCACCAUCUAUAAUUAAAAGAGGGGAAAUCACCCUCUCCCUCAGAGGCUUGCCUAUGUCAUCCUUUAUUUCCUUCUGUAGCUUAAGAGGGAAAAUCCCUUCAAAGCUGUAGGCUCCCUAUAGGGAUGCAACUUAAAUCUAAGGGCAAUAUCAGACAUCACCUGAGUGAUGUCAUGGGACCUCUUGUAACAAGAAAUCUGAAUAGUCUUGCAGAUUCCAGGAUUAAAAAGAACCUCUU